CAUAAGUACAGUUGGUGUACCGGUCUCGAAGAUUCCGGUAGUGAUGCUGCUUGUUGGACGGAACGGAGAGGCGGCCAUUGGUUCCGAUGCAAACUGAAACAAAAGGAUAUAGACGUUUAACGUUGAUUGAAAUCAACUCAGGUUUUCCUAGUGUGUCAAGAACGACCCUCUGCUUGCAUUAUGCUAGCUAGUUAGGUCUGCUCGAGUAAGCAAGAGGUGCAGUAGCCUUGAGCAGACAAUUAAUACUAGAACUACCAAGACCAUGUACUUUAUACUUCUGUCUAAAAUUACUGAAUUAUUGACAACGCUUUUACUGCAAUUUUUGAUAUCAUUGAGUAAAUUUAUAAGAGGCACGAUUCGAAUGUUAAGCCUUGAUACUAUUGCUAGAAAUGCUAGAAAAUAACAAUGACUACAUGAACUACCAUUUCUACUCUCUACGUCAUAAUUUAACCAAAUAUCGAGGACAUCCAUAGACAUCUGAUAUACUUGAAAGCUUUCGUUAAAAAUUCCAUCAACAAUAAGUGCUUUCGCUGGUUGUAGAUCUAAUUGAAAUUUCCAAAAGUCACACCUUGUUAACAAGUAUCUCUGAUUGCAGAGUACUGUUAUCGACCAAGUCGCGGCGACGUUUCGUAAACGUUCGGAGCAUAAACACUCGUCGCGCGACUUCCGUGCGUCGACGACCCCCUGUUCAUAGAAUCACUCCGUGGAACGGGCUGAGGUCGCCACCCACAUCGUUGAAAGCGCUUCCCCGAUCUAUAGAUAGCUUUCUAAGCUUUGAAAGCGUGCCGUGGCGGGUGGGCGAACCACUUCCACACACACGAGUACGCGCUUGGAUUUGUUGUGUAAUCACACACGUAUCCCCAACGUGUCGCAACACACUCUUGCAAGCUAACACAGUGCGUAAAAGUAACCCUAAGCGAUCGCAGCUCUCAUCCACUUCGCAAUGAUACUGUUCCUAUUUGCACACAUCGCAUCGUUAAUAUCCAAUGCGCUGAAUUAACGGCAGUAUGAUUUAUCGACAUCUAAUAUAAAAAUACAUUUAAUACAAUAUAUAAAUUUACUUAAUAUUAAAUAUAUUUAAUGCAUCAAUGCAUCGGUUCAAAGUGAACCGUUCCCCUCAGCCUUUGUCCUAUUCUCCAACUCCCUGACUAUAAUAUAAAUGAAUAAUAAAAAAUAAAUAAAUACUAUAUUUAAUAUAAAAAUAAAUAUGAUGGGUUCGAAGUGAACCGUUUCUCCUCAGCCUUUAUCCUAUUCUCGACUCCUCGCUUCCCAAGCCAACCCAAGAAGAAAACGGCCCAGCCAUCGGCUAUUCUCGUCGAAAAACGUAAUUGGAUCAAUUACCAUUCGCGCCGGCAACUAAACCGCCGGUAUCGCGGCAAUAUCAUUCAUAAGUUGGCUAAUAACCGGAACAUCGAUCGACGAGGGCCCGAUCGCUCACGCCCUUCGCAAAAACGCACGUCGAUGAUCGACAGACGUCGAAACCCUGCCCCCAUCCCCAUGUU